ensembl:lncRNA
GUGGGUUUUGGGCUGCUUUGUUUUUCAUAGCAGGAUUUUUGAUAUAUGCCAAGAUAAGACUCGUUUCAGCUUUAUUUUCCAUCUAAACUGGAUUUUAGGGGAAUUCCUAUGCAAUGUAAUAACAUUUUAAAAAUUUUUCCCAGAGCUAAAAGCAAAUAUUUAAAUUUAGCCCCAACCUCCAACUUAUUAACCCAUUAUUUCUCUACCUUUUUUUGUCUUUAUGGUUAUGGUUACAUGUAGGCAUGGCAUUAUUUAUCAACAGUUGUAUGUAGGUCAAUUCCUACAAUGACAGUAAUACAAGUGUGUUGUGUAUUUGUGUGUGUGUUUGUGUGUGUGUGUGUGUAUGCGUGUGCAUGCAUAGUAUAGGGGCCCAGUAGUAGGCAGAAACAGAUGCUAGGGCACUGAUUAGCGUGGGGUUAAGACUGUUAAAGUAAGCAGCAGAGUGCUGACAUGGUGGCCUGCAUAUUUGUCCUUCCCACCCAGGGCGCACCUUCCUUCUAUCAUCUCUGUAAACACACGCAACUUCGUACUUCAUACACUUCUACUCACACAUAUAUUUCCCAUCAUUCCUCGAACGGUACCUAAAACCCUUCCUGAGAGUGAGAAGUCGGGAAAAAAUGUGGCAACAGGUCUGGUCUUGCUUCCUUUGGAAAGACUACAAGCAAAUGAUGGAGGUGUAGGGGGGGGGGGGGGGAGCAAGAGAGAGAGGCUGUUGCUAUAGAAACCUGAGCAGCAUUGGUGGCAAUAGUGUAGAGGCUAAUUCUGGAGAGAUAGCAAGUGAGGGAGGGAGAGAGAGUGAAGGAGAGAGAGAGAGAGAGAAAGAGGAGGAAUUGGCCCCAGCCUUCCCACAAUACACUGCACGGUACGCUGCUUACGCACGUUGAGUGGUUUUCCCCCGUCCCUAGGCUGUUUGGUGCUUCGUUACAGUCUGACGGGAAACCCGGAGACAGAGAGAGCGAGAGAGUGACACAGAGGGAAGAAAGAAGCAAGGCUCAGAGGAAAUCAGGUGAGCAACACACACCUUUUAUUGCUUGACUUGACUGUCCCUAAAGAUGUUUUUCUCUCACCGAGAUUUGGUCAAUCUUUUUUUCUUUUCUGUUUUCACUUUUCCAAUUGGACCAAUAUAACUGUAGGGUGCAAUUAGUUUUGCUCUUAAUGCCAGUCAAAG